rnacentral:lncRNA from 1 species
CCUCAGCCUCUGUUCUCAUUUCCUCAGGCUCUCUUCACCCAUCCACGUCCUCGUCCAGUCGUGGGAAGCUGCACUUCUGGGACUGGACUGCUCUCUCCAGCCAUGGGCCACUUCUGGAUCCUCAGAGGGCUUGGGCCUAAAGGAAGCACCUGAGGAGACCUGAGGAGGAGGGGGAGAGGCUUCUGCAGAGAUGGCAGCUCCGAGUUGAGCAGGAGAGAGAAAAGGCUGUGAGACACUAGAAUCUGUCGCCUGGGGAGAGUUGGCAACUCCAACACUUUGAGAGCAAAAGAGAAAGAAAGCCUAGUGCUGGAACGGAGAUGGGCUGAGAGGGGGUGCUCUGCCCGUGGGACAGGGAGGGACAGACUGGCUUCCAGAUCCGCCCUCAGACUGUGCCCUGUGCUCGGCCUGGCCAGGGGAAGUGGAGACCGCCUGUUGGGAAAACCUGCAGGCCAUUUAUUUGACUUUUAAUUUUUUAUGUUUAUUUUCGUGGGCCUGUUUAAAGGGGAUUUAAACAGGGCCAGGAAAAUUUCUGUAAUGCCCAAUUAUGGGAGGAGAUUGUGAAGAGAUGGGGAAGUCUGCCUGGAGUGCAAGGGCCUGGUUGUCUGGACUGAUCUGGGGGUGCUCAGGAGGAGAUCGGGGCUCUCCGGGUGUCCAGCAGUCCACUGACAAUACAGAAACUGGAGUGGACAAGCGUUAGUGAUCUAAAGCCAAAUGACAGGUUGACCCAAAACAAUGAACCUUUAUCUCUCAGGUUCUGUGUUGGGCAACCCAGGCCUCUGGCCCCGGAGCCUUCUGAGGUGACAGCCCAGGCUCACUUGAGAACACCUGCUUUCUCCUUCAUGUGAGUGAUAGCUGCCAGAACUCAGUCCCUGUCUGAACCCUAGAAUAAUGGUCUCGGCUGGAAUCAGAGCCUCAGUUCCCCCCUGGCCGUUGGUGGGAAGUCUCAGUUUCUUGCUGUAAGGGUGUCUGUGAAAGUCAGCUCAUCCCGUGGCGACAGGCUUCAUUGGAACCGGCGAGGAGACUUCUGGUUUCCAGCUUGUUAGGAGCUUGGACGCUGUCACUCCGUCCCAGCAAGCGACAAGCUGAACAAACUGACCAAGAGUCUCUUCUUACCACUGUGAGAGACAUGAGGUCACAGGGAAAACUGGCCUCCCUAAAACUGGAGAGAGGGGCAGAUGGAUACAGAGACUCAGAGCUUACCUCCCAGAGCAGAGACUCAUUAGCAGAAGCUUCUGUGGGAAGAGUGCUCUGCAGAAAGACCUGAACUGAAAUUGAUGAAUUGCUGGAGGCCAAGUGUGAAAAGUCUGAGAGUUAAAAACUCCACGGGGACCCAGACAUAGGGGGACUCCCACACUUUUGUGAGAUCUGCUUCUUGGAAUUCAAUCAGAUUUCCACAUGAAACGUCAGAGGAAAAUCCCCUCAUGCUUCCAGCAAAGGGAGAGGGAAAGAAACCAUUCUGAAAUAU